UACGUAGGUGGCGAGCGUUGUCCGGAUUUACUGGGCGUAAAGAGCGCGCAGGCGGUCGUUCAAGUCGCGUGUGAAAGCCCCCGGCUCAACUGGGGAGGGUCACGCGAUACUGAUCGACUCGAAGGCAGGAGAGGGAAGUGGAAUUCCCGGUGUAGCGGUGAAAUGCGUAGAUAUCGGGAGGAAUACCUAUGGCGAAAGCAGGCUACUGGACCGUCACUGACUCUGAUCUGCGAAAGCUAGGGGAGCAAACAGG
rnacentral:rRNA from 1 species